rnacentral:rRNA from 2 species
GUAGGGAAUAUUGGACAAUGGGUGAGAGCCUGAUCCAGCCAUGCCGCGUGCAGGAAGAAGGCGUUAUGCGUUGUAAACUGCUUUUGCCAGGGGAUAAAACGGUUCUGCGGAACUAAUUGAAGGUACCUGGUGAAUAAGCCACGGCUAACUACGUGCCAGCAGCCGCGGUAAUACGUAGGUGGCAAGCGUUGUCCGGAUUUAUUGGGUUUAAAGGGUGCGUAGGCGGCCCUGUAAGUCAGUGCUGAAAUAUCCCGGCUUAACCGGGAGGGUGGCAUUGAUACUGCAGGGCUUGAGUACAGAUGAGGUAGGCGGAAUUGACGGUGUAGCGGUGAAAUGCAUAGAUAUCGUCAAGAACACCGAUAGCGAAGGCAGCUUACCAAGCUGUAACUGACGCUGAGGCACGAAAGUGUGGGGAUCAAACAGGAUUAGAAACCCGAGUAGUCC